CACACACAGCAUAAUGAUGGCCACACUGAUUCUACUGCUGACCACACUGACCUUCUUUCCUCAAGUUUCCCAUCAAGAGGUUCAGUCUCCUGAAUUUUUGUCUGUUGAAGCAGGAAAGAGUGUCUCUAUUAGCUGUACUGCAUCUAGUGGAAGUGACAGAGAAAUUAGUUGGUACCUGCUGAAACCUGGAAAAGCUCCUAAACACCUGAUUUAUAAGGCAAAUAGACGCCAGUCUGGAGUUCCAGAACGAUUCAGUGGUUCAUAUUCAGGGCUUAACUUUCAACUGACCAUCAGUGGAGUCCAGCCUGAGGAUGAAGGAGAUUAUUACUGUAUGGGGAAAUAUAGUGCUACAGUGUUCACACAGUAAAAAAGCAUUGUACAAAAACAGUGUUCGACAGUACCAAGCUCUACUGCAGGUGUUGAAG